UUUGAAAUUUGAGCGCACGGGAGUAUUAUAUCCUGUUGUAGUAUCAUGGUACAGAUGAUGUUCUCUUUUCCUUUUUGUCUUCCCUCUUGUCCUUACAUUCAUCAAAGAUGGUGUGACUUUAAUGACUGAUUUGUACUCAUCAAAGAUGGUGUGACUUUAAUGACUGAUUUGUACUUAAUUGAUAGCAGUGGGAAUUUUCAUUCUACUUCCAACUUCAUUGCCUUUCUAUAUUCAUAUUUUACACAAUGAUCCAAGUAACACUGGUGGUUAUAGUAACAGUUGCUGUGCAGCUAAGCUUUUAAGUUUGUUGUCUCAUGAGUUCCAUGAGAAGCCCUUUCUAACUGCAUAACCCGGUGAUAAAAGAGGUUGCGGGAUGAUGGGCACAUGGAAGAGGGACAUCAAACUAUUGAUGAUUUCUUAGCUAUUGGUUCUAAUUCUUGGUGCCUGCUGUUGAGAUGUGUCUUGCCAG
rnacentral:lncRNA from 1 species